GUUUAAUAAGGCCACUAUAUACUCCUUGAUGUAGUCUUAGAUAUUUGAAUAAAAUCAUUCUCCUUUGAUCAAAAAAAAUAUAUUUGAAUAUAAACCUUCCAAGAAGUAAGCAAUAGAGAGAGAAACCCUAAACGUCUGAAUGAGAGAACGCGAUGAACCGCCUAUCCAUCGGCGCUCUUGGCCAGCAUUGUCGUCGGAUGGGCCAGAGAGGGCCGAAUGGCUAGAGAUGGAGGGCUCGAUCAAAGAAGAGAUUGCAGGGUAUUGGUGAAGUUGUCUAAGACGCAUGGAAUUGGGGAGGGUGGUGCACGAUGAUGAUUCAACAGCAGAAAGGCAAUGCAGGGUUUCGAUCUAUGCUCCAGGAAAUCGGAAUCUGAUCCGGUUUGGGAAGGAUGAAGUCGAUCUAGGGAAAUUAUGACUCCAUCCGAGUUCACGGGGUUGAAAUUGAUCAUGGUUGACCGGAUGGAGUUUGGUCUUGGGUGGGGCUCGUCUUGCCAAUGGGAUGGAGGUGGUGGUGUGAUUGUCGGAGCGAAACUUUGUGGCAGGUGUGGAGAUGGCGGUGUAGUGCCUUCUACCACCUCUUUCUUGGGCUUGGGCCAACUAAAGGUUAGGUCUGGGCCAGCUAAAGGUUAGGUUUGGGCCUGGGUUUACUGGGUUUUAAAUCCAUUUUAUUUUAAUGCUUAUUUUUCUUAUCUACUAUUUUAUGUCUUAUUUAUAGCUAUUUACAUUAUUAUGCCGGCAAUAACCUACUUUUUUUUUAUAAGACAAAUUGGGCUUGGUCCCAGUCUAUGCACCUUAAGUGUCUUAUCUGUUCUAAGGAGACGGCGGGUCUUUUGUUUAGUCAAAUGAUUGCAACCUCUUACUAGCAAGAUGAAACGAAGUACUGUUUGGUUUAUUUGCUAGCGACAACAUAGUACGAAACCUGCAUUUUUAGACAUUAGGAUAUGUAAUCGUGUUACACGUCUACUGAUCUUUCAAUUAUGUCACAACUGUGACAAAACAAAUAAAGUCGUCAUUAGAGUUGUACUCUUUAUUAGUGGGUGCUUUUUAGAAUACAUGUACUUUGUAGAACUUCUUGAUAAUAUUUUGAGACUUCUAGAUGCUUAUUAUAAUCCGGGGUUCAGGCUCCAUGUCUCCCCCUGUAUUCGAUAGUUUCAUCUAUGAAGGCUUGAGGGCAGCUGCACCAGCCCUUUAAAGAAAAAAUAUGAAAAAAUCUAACAUACAAAGACACAUAAGGAAUUUAAAUUUAUAAUAAUCUUUUUCUAUGUUAAAAAGUUGUUUAUGAUGAAGGAUAAAGUGUAGAGACAAAGAGAUAGCAAGAGAAUCAUCAUCUUAUUCAUUGAUAGGAGCCCUUUAUAUAGGGAAUUACACAAUACCAAUAUGGUAAGGAUAUGAAUACAUAGAUCUAGUCUAACUACAUAUCCUAUUGGCAUAAGGCCAAGGCACACAUAGAGAAUAUCCUAGAACACUCCCCCUUGUGCCGCGCGCUGAUAUGCCGAUGGUGCUGAUCUGUUGCCUCGUCAAAAAC
rnacentral:lncRNA from 1 species